UGCAUCUUUAGCUCAGUGGUAGAGCGUUGGUCUCGUAAACCAAAGGCCGAGAGUUCAAUCCUCUCAGGAGCAU
rnacentral:tRNA from 1 species